rnacentral:rRNA from 1 species
UACGGAGGAUGCGAGCGUUAUCCGGAUUUACUGGGUGUAAAGGGAGCGUAGACGGCAGCGCAAGUCUGGAGUGAAAUGCCGGGGCCCAACCCCGGAACUGCACUGGAAACUGUGAAGCUGGAGUGCAGGAGAGGUAAGCGGAAUUCCUGGUGUAGCGGUGAAAUGCGUAGAUAUCAGGAGGAACACCGGCGGCGAAGGCGGAUUACUGGACGAUAACUGACGGUGAGGCGCGAAAGCGUGGGGAGCAAACAGG